AUGGACACCAUCAGUCUCUCCUUCGCUCUCACACUCCAUUGUCAACCCGUUCAAGCACCUCCAUUUUUUCGCUCGCAAAUCAACCUCCCUCCAUCGCGUUUCACCUCACCACCAGCUUUACCUUACUGUGAACCACCCUUCAUCUUUCAACACAGUACUAUACUCCCUCCCUUCUCCAUGAUAACUUCUGAUACUCCAUCUCAACAAUGA